rnacentral:rRNA from 1 species
UACGUAGGGUGCAAGCGUUGUCCGGAUUCAUUGGGCGUAAAGAGCUCGUAGGCGGCUUUGUAAGUCGGGUGUGAAAACCCCAGGCUCAACCUGGGGACGCCACUCGAUACUGCAAUAGCUAGAGUCUGGUAGGGGAUCACGGAAUUCCUGGUGUAGCGGUGAAAUGCGCAGAUAUCAGGAGGAACACCGGUGGCGAAGGCGGAUCUCUGGGCCAUUACUGACGCUGAGGAGCGAAAGCGUGGGGAGCGAACAGG